rnacentral:rRNA from 1 species
GACGUAGGGUGCGAGCGUUGUCCGGAUUUAUUGGGCGUAAAGAGCUCGUAGGCGGCUCGUCGCGUCGACCGUGAAAACCCGCAGCUUAACUGCGGGCUUGCGGUUGAUACGGGCGGGCUAGAGUUCGGUAGGGGAGGACUGGAAUUCCUGGUGUAGCGGUGAAAUGCGCAGAUAUCAGGAGGAACACCGGUGGCGAAGGCGGCUUCUGGACGACAACUGACGCUGAGACGCGAAAGCGUGGGGAGCAACAGG